AUUGAACGCUGGCGGCAGGCCUAACACAUGCAAGUCGAGCGGAUGAAGGGAGCUUGCUCCUGGAUUCAGCGGCGGACGGGUGAGUAAUGCCUAGGAAUCUGCCUGGUAGUGGGGGAUAACGUCCGGAAACGGGCGCUAAUACCGCAUACGUCCUAAGGGAGAAAGUGGGGGAUCUUCGGACCUCACGCUAUCAGAUGAGCCUAGGUCGGAUUAGCUAGUUGGUGGGGUAAAGGCCUACCAAGGCGACGAUCCGUAACUGGUCUGAGAGGAUGAUCAGUCACACUGGAACUGAGACAUGGUCCAGACUCCUACGGGAGGCAGCAGUGGGGAAUAUUGGACAAUGGGCGAAAGCCUGAUCCAGCCAUGCCGCGUGUGUGAAGAAGGUCUUCGGAUUGUAAAGCACUUUAAGUUGGGAGGAAGGGCAGUAAGUUAAUACCUUGCUGUUUUGACGUUACCAACAGAAUAAGCACCGGCUAACUUCGUG
rnacentral:rRNA from 1 species